AGCCUGCCGCGUGUAUGAGAAGCCUUCGGGUUGUAAAGUACUUUCGGCGGGGAGGAAGGGUACCGUGUUAAUACCCUUGGCCAUUGACGUUACCCGCAGAAAAAGCACCGGCUAACUCCGUGCCAGCAGCCGCGGUAAUAGAC
rnacentral:rRNA from 1 species